UAAAUCUAUUUAUACUAAGCAAUGUGAGAUAUUCAAACUUCAACGUACAUUUAUGUAUGCAUUUCACUGCACCUAAACUACUAGCUAUAGUUAGACCAGCAGGUCUGGGGUGACAAAUGUCAUAACACUACAACACCUGAAGAAUGUUGUUACAGGUCGUCAGUGUCAAUAGCAUGGUUAUAAAACUCACAUAAAAAGUAUAAAAACAAGUUUGAUUUACGAGAUUCAUAUAUGCAUUACAGUUUUCUACAUUAUUUUUCAUACAAAGUUAUCUUUAUCAUUCAAGUACGAAAAAUACUAACACAUUCCAACUCUGGAAACUUUUCGAGUCAUUUAUAGAAAAUAUUGGAUUUUCUGAAAACCUCGUUUACCGAUUUGCUACCAAAAAGGAUAUACUUUUCAACUCAAAACACUCCUGAACUCACCAACUUAAUUGUUGACACUCUUUCAAAACCACUUGUAUUUCUCAGGGAAUCAUUAAUACAGGUAACUAUCAGCUUUGAAGAAGGAACGCUAAGGACGUUUCAUUUUUGAACAUUUAUCAUCAUAUUGUAAUAUUCUUUUGCUAAUAUGUAUAACGCAACAAGAUACGUUUUCAUUAUAUAUAUGAUGGUUGUGCUACUUUCUUUACAAUAUUCAAUUGUUGUGAUACUACGUGAAGUCAUCCACCCUCGAAUGUUUCCGCCAUUCUGGUUUGGGGGUGUGACAGAUUGGUAUUAGAGCAUUGUUUAUAGUGAACUAAGUAUAUCAAACCACAUAAGAUAUACAAACUAUAAAUGCAAAGGGGACCAAAAACCCUCUGACAAAAUGUUUUCAUAAACAAUAUACAUACAUUUUACUCGCAUGCAUCAGUCUCGUAUCAUGACAAGUUUUCUAAAUAAAGUAUUAAGGCAAGUUGCGACACUAUGAUUGGCCUUGAGGUAUGUAAUCAAAUCAAGAAUAAAUAUAGCCUGAUCAACUAUAUUUAUCCUAGGUUUGACCAGCGUACGUCGAAGAAUGGUCGUAGUGGACAACAAGCCAAGAACUUACCAAAUACAAAUUAUUUUAGAUUCGCCAAAUUGAAAUACUAUAGGAGUAUUGCAUAAAUAAUUGUACAAUGAAAAACUUGCGCUGCGUAAGGAUAUAGUUAAACAUAGGAUGUCAUUAAAUAGAAAUUUCUGUUCUUAUAAAAUUCUCAUACCUCUAUCCUAGUACAGACAAAUGGCUGGAUUCCAUUUACCCGGAGAUCCCUACUACCCAAACCAAGGCAACGACAGGUGGAUAGAAGAAGACCCGGAGGAAGACCCAGAGGAAAUCGAAGAAGAGGUCGAAGAAGAGUUCGAGGAGGGAGUCAAAGAAGAAUUCGAAAUCGAAGUCGGAGAAGAAUUCGAAGUCGACGAGGAGAUCGUGGAAGUUUCUAGCGGAACAGACUCCGAACCAGAAGUAAUCGACCCUCCCAUCCCUCAUCCUCCCGAAAUUAGACCAUAUCAACCGGGACCCAUUCCUUUGUGGGGAAGCCACCUUUACUACUGGAGCCGCCAGCAAGGUGUACGCCCUCCCUUCGGCAUGUGUCAGGAUUUUUACAAUGUCAGUGGGGGAGGCUCAGCUGAUUGAGCACUUCCUGUUAUUGUGAACGCUAUAGCUACCCAGAACUACCAGGCGGACCAGCAAGCAGCCAGAGUUGCGAGGUCAAUGCUGCUACUCAAGGUAACGCCGCAGACAUCCGCCGUUUGGAAGGACUACAUGAGAAUACCCAAAUCUACACGGGGACGCUUCAGAACCAAAUGAUAACGACACUAGCAGAAAUAAGAGAGAUGAAGGAACAACAAGCAGAUCUCGAGAGACGCCUGAUGGGAGUCAAACAGUCGGAUGCCGAAUCUAGCUCCAAACGUGCAACACGCCGCAAAUAGAGCUUGUUCAAGCCCCAACAAUUUUGUUAUAAAAUAGGAUUUCGGAUAAAAGUUUUUCCCUUAUUUCCUUUUGUAUCUGUAAUCGGAGACCUCUAGGUAGGUCAAAUUUUCCAAACAAGAAACGUAAUGUAACACACCUCGGGUGUGACCAAUAUAUAUUAAUAUGAAGUACUUCUUUAUAAUACUUCUCGAAACUUAUGGGUUUAACUAAAAUUACUAUACUUACCUUGGAACCAUAAACUAAAGUCAAAACAAAUUACAAAUUACAACUAACACACGAUUGUNAAAACAUUAGAAACUUAUAGUAUUCAUUCUUAUUUUCUCUACCAGAACAUGCCUCCUCGUAGAUCAACACGCAGAAACUCAACUUCAACACCACCUCCACCACCUCCUCCAAUUAUGGAUGCCGUUAUGUUCCAGACUGCUGUAACCGCUGAUGUAACCGCAGCAAUGGCUCAAAUGAGCAACAACGGAUUGGGAGGAGGAACAAACAGCUUUACAAAUGGCUAAGGUCAAGGCCGUUCGGGGGUAUGCACUUACAAAGACUUCACCAACGGAAAACCUAUUUCCUUUUAUGGAACUGGGGGAGUAUUGGCUCUAUCUCAAUGGAUAGAGAAAACGAAAGCUGUAUUCGAAAUUUGCGCAUGCCCUGAAGAGAGCAAAGUAAAGUUUGCUGCUUGUACUUUCUCUAAACGCGCCCUGACAUGGUGGAACGACCACGUCAAGACACUAACCCUAGUGGUGGCGAACUCCAUGGGUUGGGAAAACUUGAAACGAAUGCUCCUUCGAGAAUACUGCCCAAGAGGCGAGAUUCAGAAGCUUGAACAGGAACUGUGGAGUCUUUCGAUGGUAGGCUCAGACAUAGCAGGUUACACCAACAGGUUCAGUGAUUUGAUAACACUUUGCCCAGGAAUACUCACCCUGGAAAGCCAAAGAGUCGAGAGAUACAUUUGGGGACUAUCACCCCAACUUCGAGGAAGUGUGUUAGCUUCCAAACCCAUGACCUUCGACAGCGCCAAGGAACUGGCGCAAUCUCUCAUUGAUCAUGGUGUCUGUCAAGGAGUCACGGAUAUCAUGGUUGAACCAACCAAAGGAAACAACAACAAUGAGAUCAAUGCCAACAACAACAAGAAGAAGAAAUUUUGGAACAAGAGAAAGGGGCAAACUUCGCAACAACCUUCAAAGAAACAAAUAGUUGCGGUUCAUGCUGCUACUUCUCCCACCACAACUCCUGCUACCCCUGCGCCAACAAAACAAUAUGCUAGGAAUCUGCCCAAGUGCAGCAAGUGCAACUACCAUCACCACGGUAUUUGCCGCGAGAUGCACUGCAAGAACUGUGACAGGAAAGGGCACACAGCCCGUUUCUGUAAAGCACCGGCACGACCAAUCACUCAAGUUCCUGGUACUGGAGUAAGCCAGGCGUGUUAUGGGUGCGGAGAAACAGGACACUUUAGGAGGAAUUGUCCCAAGGAAAGGAAUGCUGGCGGUGUGGGGAGAAUGCUGGAAAUAGGACAUAAUGAAGCGAUAGCAGACCCCACGGUGGUUACGGGUACGUUUCUACUCGACAACAUUUAUGCAUGCAUACUCUUUGACUACGGUGUGGAGAGAAGUUUUGUGAGUCAUAAAUUUAAACACCUACUUAGUCAAAAACCCCAACCACUCAAUAAAAUAUUCACUGUAGAAAUGGCAAAUGGUAAAACAGAAAACGCAAGUGACUUGUACGUAGGAUGCACACUAAAUUUAAACGAGCACUUGUUUCGAGUCGAUCUUAUGCCCAUUUCCAUAAGAAGUUCCGAUGUCAUCAUCGGUAUGGACUAGUUGAGCCUGCACCAUGCCGAUAUACUUUGUCACGAAAGGGUCGUUCGCCUAAAUCUGCCAAACGGCGAAACUCUUGUCAUUUAUGGCGACACACCAAGUUCAAAUUUACAAAUCAUUUCCUGUAUUAAAGCACAAAAAUAUCUUCGCAAAGAAUAUCAUGCCUUUCUAGCCCACGUAGUAGACAAGAAACAAGAAUCGAAAAACAUUAAAGACAUUCCGGAAGUCUGUAAUUUCCCAGACAUCUUCCCAGAAGAUCUUCCAGGAAUCCCACCGGAAUGUCAAGUCGAGUUCAGAAUCGAAUUAAUCCCCGGAGCUACUCCAGUAGCAAAGUCUCCUUACCGUUUAGCCCCAGCCGAGAUGUAGGAACUAUCCAGUCAAUUAAACGAGCUGUUGAGCAAGGGAUUCAUCAGACCGAGCUUCUCACCAUGGGGAGAACCAUUCCUAUUCGUGAAAAAGAUGGACGGAUCCUUUCGCAUGUGCAUCGAUUAUCGGGAACUAAACAAACUCACGAUCAAGAACCAAUAUCCCUUACCACGCAUAGACGAUCUAUUCGACCAACUACAGGGAGUAAGCUACUUCUCAAAGAUCGAUCUAAGAUCUGGUUAUCACCAACUGUGAGUACAGGAAGGAGACAUCCCCAAAACGGCUUUCCGAACACGUUAUGGUCACUACGAGUUUGUAGUAAUGCCCUUCGGAUUGACAAAUGCACCAGCAGUGUUCAUGGACUUGAUGAACCGAGUAUGUCGUCCCUUCCUGGAUAAAUUCGUGAUCGUGUUCAUAGAUGAUAUACUCAUCUAUUCUAGAAGCCAGGAAGAACACAGCCAACACCUCCGCCAAGUCUUGGAAACAUUGAGGGCAGAGAAGCUUUACGCAAAAUUUUCCAAGUGCGAAUUUUGGAUUCGGGAACUGGAUUUCCUAGGACAUGUUGUAAGCAAAGAAGGAAUACACAUGGACCCUUCCAAGAUAAAGGCAAUAGAUAGUUGGACUACUCCAAGGAUCCCUACAGAAAUCUGGUAAUUUUUGGGACUUGCCGGGUAUUACCAAAGAUUCAUACCGAACUUUUCAAAGAUUCCCAAACCACUUACCACCCUAACUCAGAGGAAUGUGACCUUCGACUGGGGAGAAAAACAAGACAGCGCAUUUCAGACACUAAAGCGAGCUUUAUGUAGUGCACCCAUCCUAACCUUGCCAGAAGGAACGGAGGACUUCGUAGUCUAUUGCGAUGCAUCAAACCAAGGACUUGGAUGUGUCCUGAUGCAACGGGGGAAGGUCAUCGCCUAUGCUUUAAGGCAACUAAAGACGCACGAAGUGAACUACACAACGCACGAUCUUGAACUAGGAGAAGUCGUCUUCGCUCUAAAGAUAUGGAGGCACUACCUCUACGGCACAAAAUGUAUGAUUUUCACCGACCAUAAAAGCCUCCAACAUAUCCUCAACCAGAAGGAACUCAACAUGAGACAGAGGCGAUGGGUAGAACUACUUAGUGAUUAUGAAUGCGAAAUUCGAUAUCACCCCAGAAAGGCUAAUGUAGUGGCUGAUGCACUCAGUCGGAAGGAAUACUCGGGCCGCCGAGUAAAGGCCCUAACUAUGACGAUCCAUUCUCGUCUGUCCACACAAAUCAAGGAAGCCCAAAUAGAAGCCUUGAAAUCCGAAAAUGUGACAAGAGAAGCCCUAAGGGGAAUGGAUAAGAACCUGGAGAUCAAGAGUGACGAAGUUCGUUAUUUCAUGAACCGAAUCUGGACACCGAAGUUUGGUGGAUUCAGAGAAAUCAUCAUGGACGAAGCCCAUAAGACACGAUACUCCAUACAUCCCGGCUCCGAUAAGAUGUAUCUCGACCUCAAGAAGUUGUACGGGUGGCCGAACAUGAAAGCCGAAAUUGCUACCUACGUGAGCAAAUGCCUGACAUGUGCCAAAGUCAAGGUGGAAUACCAAAAGCCUUCGGGUUUAUUACAACAACCAGAAAUACCCGAAUGGAAGUGGGAGCGGAUAACCAUGGAUUUCAUAACAAAAUUACCCAAGACAACAAGCGGACUCGACACCAUUUGGGUAAUUGUCGACAGGUUAACUAAGUCAGCGCAUUUCCUACCGAUCAAAGAGACGGAUAAAUUGGAGAAGUUAACAAGGACAUACCUCAGAGAAAUUGUACGACUGCAUGGUGUGCCCAUAUCCAUUAUCUCGGACCGAGAUAGUAGAUUCACCUCAAGGUUCUGGCAGUCGCUACAAAAAGCUUUGGGGACAAGACUAGACAUGAGUACCGCUUAUCACCCACAAACCGACGGCCAGAGCGAGAGAACUAUACAAACCCUAGAAGACAUGCUGAGAGCUUGCGUAAUCGAUUUUGGCAAAGCAUGGGACACACAUCUACCAUUGGUCGAGUUCUCGUACAACAAUAGCUACCACACCAGUAUCAAGGCUGCCCCGUUCGAAGCCCUCUAUGGCCGCAAAUGCAGGUCACCUUUGUGCUGGGCCGAAGUGGGGGACACGCAACUAGCAAAAGGACAAGCAACUGACAACACGCUCACUGGACCAGAAAUCAUAAGGGAGACUACGGAGAAGAUUGUUCAAAUCCGAGAACGUCUAAAAGCAUCAAGAGAUAGACAAAAGAGUUACGCAGAUAAGAGACGCAAACCCUUGGAAUUCCAAGUUGGAGACCAUGUCCUACUCAAAGUCUCACCUUGGAAAGGAUUAAUACGCUUCGGAAAACGUGGGAAACUGAACCCAAGAUACAUCGGACCAUUCGAGAUCCUUGCCAGGAUCGGUCCCGUGGCUUACAAACUUAGAUUACCUCAGGAGCUCCACAACGUACACCCUACCUUUCACGUAUCAAACCUAAAAAAGUGCUUAUCCGAUGAGACCCUUGUCAUCCCUCUAGACGAAAUUGCAAUAAAUGAAAAUCUCCAGUUCGUAGAAGAACCAGUAGAGGUCAUGGAUCGGGAAAUAAAAAGGACUAAACAAAGCCGCAUACCUAUUGUAAAGGUCCGCUGGAACGCCAAGCGAGGACCUGAAUACACCUGGGAACGCGAGGAUCAGAUGAAACAAAAGUACCCGCAUCUUUUUCCUAACUUGUAAACUCUAUCCUAGAUUAAAUUUCUGGAUGAAAUUCCCUUAACAGGGGGAUGAUGUGACAACCCUAUAUUUUCCAAAAGUAGUGUAACGCUCAAGAGUCAAAUACAACGAAAUUAACCUAAAAAAUAAAAGCGUUUAAUUAUCUAAGUUGGGAUGCAUCAAAUAUUAGAUAUCAUGCCAAGGUUUCCAAAAACGUAAAGAACGCUCAAAACCGGGUUAUAUUGAAGAAAUUAUAACCACUCGUAUAAUUACGACACGCCGUUAAAAUGUUAUUUAACGUAAAAAGUGAAAUCUCAAUAAAAUGCAUUUUAGCCUUAAGUAUCUAAACAAAAGUCGUAGACCUCGUUAAAAGGUGAGCGUGCAUAAAAAGAUCGCCCAAAUUGGACUUCGUAUGAAGAAGUUACGAAUUUCCUAAGUUUUGUAACAGUAGUAGAGGGCUAAAAACUCAAAUUGAAGAUUGAGUGUUAUUUAGCUAUCGCCACCUAAACGAAAUUUGAAGAUCUCCACAAUAGUAAUAAGACGAUAAAAAGACAAAUGAAAACCGACGUCGAAUAAAGAACCUAUGAAUUUUUAACGGACAUUAGUAGUCCCGUCCUAUUAACGAAAUAUCAUUAAAAAUAAAGUCAAAACUAGCCGACGGAAAGUUGUAGAGCAUAAUCUCACCUUCGCGUGGAUAUAAAGAACGCGAAAAACGGAGCCCGUACGCAAAAGUUACGGAAUUUAGAAGAUGGAAGACUGGAUUACCCCCGCGUAAUCCAAGAGUACGCCCCGCAUACUAGGCCCAGUGUCAAGUCCCAUCGGCUCGAGUGCUCUACGCUAGAUAGACCGGAGUCGUAAGCCGUGACGCAUUUUUACCCCCCGCGUAACCGAAGUACGCCCCGCGUAUUGAGUACGCCCAGCGUACUCUGGUAUUACGCCCCGCGUACGAGGAGUUUCCAGCCUAUAAAUAGAGAGGUUGAGCUUCGGGUUUUUUGCACACCAUUCUCAUAUUCCCUCUCACUUUUACACAACCUAGAGCUCCAAAGACCAUCCCGACACCUCGGUUUCCGUACCUGAGCCCCCGACGAAGGAUCUACGCUGCAGAGAUCCCCGAAGAGCCGAAGACGCAACUUUCCGCGGUCGAAAUUCUGCUAAACUCUAGGUUCUCUCUCUUCAAACCAAACGAGUGAGUUCAUACCCAUACUUUUCAAUUCUUGUCAUGUUUUAGGGGGGAAAUACAAGUACAUUACAAGUCAAAGUAUCAUUUUAUAAACAUAAAUGUAAUAUCUAUCUUUGAAUAUCGAUAUAAACAUCUUUAUGUAUGAAGAGCUAUUAUAUCACCAAGUUAUUUUCACCAAAUGGAACAUACUAUCUGAAAAACUAUAAUGGGUAUAGUUAACGAGUCAAUCGUACAUUUUACAUAUACAUCUUGAAAAACGAAACACUUUCAAAAGAAGUAAGGUCAUUCUUAUUGUAAAUCUAUUUAUACUAAGCGAUGUGAGAUAUUCAAACUUCAACGUACAUUUAUGUAUGCAUUUCAAGUCAUGUAUUAUAUACCAUAAUAUCUUGGAGGGAGAGCGUGAUACUUGUGUAUAGAUCUAUACGGGAUUGACAACCCCGCACCUAAACUACUAGCUAUAGUUAGACCGGCAGGUUUGGGGUGACAAAUGUCAUAACACUACAACACCUGAAGAAUGUUGUUACAGGCCGUCAGUGUCAAUAGCAUGGUUAUAAAACUCACAUAAAAAGUAUAAAAACAAGUUUGAUUUACGAGAUUCAUAUAUGCAUUACAGUUUUCUACAUUAUUUUUCAUACAAAGUUAUCUUUAUCACUCAAGUACGAAAAAUACUAACACAUUCCAACUCUGGAAAGUUUUCGAGUCAUUUAUAGAAAAUGUUGGAUUUUCUGAAAACCUCGUUUACCGAUUUGCUACCAAAACUGAUAUACUUUUCAACUCAAAACACUCAUGAACUCACCAACUUAAUUGUUGACACUUUUUCAAAACCACUUGUAU
rnacentral:lncRNA from 1 species